UGCGUAGGUGGUUUCUUAAGUCAGAGGUGAAAGGCUACGGCUCAACCGUAGUAAGCCUUUGAAACUGGGAAACUUGAGUGCAGGAGAGGAGAGUGGAAUUCCUAGUGUAGCGGUGAAAUGCGUAGAUAUUGGGAGGAACACCAGUUGCGAAGGCGGCUCUCUGGACUGUAACUGACACUGAGGCACGAAAGCGUGGGGAGCAAACA
rnacentral:rRNA from 1 species